ACGAACGCUGGCGGCGUGCUUAACACAUGCAAGUCGAACGGAAAGGCCCUGCUUUUGUGGGGUGCUCGAGUGGCGAACGGGUGAGUAACACGUGAGUAACCUGCCCUUGACUUUUGGAUAACUUCAGGAAACUGGGGCUAAUACCGGAUAGGAGCUCCUGCUGCGUGGUGGGGGUUGGAAAGUUUCGGCGGUUGGGGAUGGACUCGCGGCUUAUCAGCUUGUUGGUGGGGUAGUGGCUUACCAAGGCUUUGACGGGUAGCCGGCCUGAGAGGGUGACCGGCCCCAUUGGGCCUGAGAUACGGGCAAGACGCCUUCGGGAGGCAGCAGUGGGGAAUAGUGCAAAAUGGGCGGAAGGCUGAUGCAGCAACGCCGCGUGCGGGAUGCCGGCCUUCGGGUUGUAAACCGCUUUCGCCUGUGACGAAGCGUGAGUGACGGUACUGGGGAAAGAAGCACCGGCUAAUUACGU
rnacentral:rRNA from 1 species